AACCUGGCUUAAAUCAUGGAAUACGUUUUCCAAGACACUGACACAGGCAGCAUUAUGAUGAUGUCAAACAUUUUACUGCUGGUGAUGCUGGGACUCCUUGUACAGGGAUCAAUGGCAGACAUAAUCCUGACUCAGUCUCCAGCAGCUCGGUCUGUUCAGCUUGGAGACACUGUCUCUAUCAGCUGUAAAGCCAGUCAGCAUGUGGGCACCGAAUUUGACUGGUACCUGCUCAGACCUGGUCAGGCUCCUAAACUUCUGAUUUAUGCUGCCACAAGUCGCCAGACUGGGAUCCCUGAUCGUUUCAGUGGGAGUGGAUCUGGGACUCAGUUCACACUGAAAAUCACUGGAGCCCAGGCUGAAGAUGCAGGAGAUUAUUACUGUCAGCAGGACUAUAGCUUGCCGCUCACACAGUGUUAGAGAGCCGUACAAAAACCUCCCUCAGUCAGACUGCACAGAGACUGCACUGCUGCAGCUGGGACCUACUGCAGGUGCUGAGGGUGGAGGCACUGAUCUGGAACACCAGUAUUUACAACAGGGCAGUAGGGGGCGACAAUGAGCUUCAGUCCUGAAUACACACCCCUCUGUACUGAAGAGGAGCUUCUCUGUGUCACACAGAACCUAUAACAGAGCUGCUGCUGAACCACACACACUUCUGUACCACAACAUCACAGGGAACACAGAGUAUCAUUUCACAAGCAGCAAUGAUCACCUGGGUGUACUGAGUCCACCCAAAAGCAGAGUAUGUGUACUUUCUCCUAGAGGAGGAAGGAGUGGGAUUUCAAAUGAACUGCUGUCUGAAGGGUAUUUUGAGUUGAAUACAUACAUCAGAGUUUAUGUAAUUAAAGGUGUUUCUAUUCAGAUGGUAUCCUGGUGACAUCUCAGCCACGAUGCACUGAAUCGCAGAAUUUAUUAUUUUCUGCGACAGUAUUUCUUUGAUUGGCACGAUCAUCAUAUUAUUUUAAGUUUCAAAUUUUGUUAUUAGUUAUUCAAUUUAACCACAACGUAGCAUGAUACAGCAUGGACAGAAUUCCAUGACAAGCUCCCAUAUUAUUAAAUGAGAUCAUUUUAAACUCAAAAGACAUCAAUGCAUUCAUUUUGAAUUGAUAUCCCUUGAGCUUAAUGUAUUCAAUUGCACAGGCAUCCAUUAUAUUUCAGGCAUGGGGUCAGUACAGGGUUAGUAUUAUCAAAACCUGUUUGUGUUUGCUGAAUAAAUGCAGCAUUGUGUAUCUGGAAAUUUGAAGGAUGGAAUGUAUAAAAGUGUAAGAAAACCCCUCAGAUACCCGUCAAGUGUCAAGGUCACCAACUGUAAGAGACCCCUCUAAUGCAUCAAACAGCAGAAGUAUCUGAGUGGAGAAGAAAUGGGUGUAGUCUUACCUGGUGCUACAUGGAACAGGAUUAAUUUAAUAUAAAAUUUCAAUUAUUUAAAUCCAAAAUAAUGUUUUAACCAAUAACUUAAUAGUUAUGGAGACCUCUUUUUCUCCAUUCAAGAAGUGGAACAGAUACAAUUAAAUUUUUCACUCCAUGAAAUCACAAGGAAACACUAAAUGACUAAAACACUCAUUGGAGCCACUGAAAAUUUUAAAAUGAUGAAAAUAAUUUUUUUGACAAUCUUUGGAGUAUGUGAAAGGCAAAUAACAAUUGUAAUCAUCAAAUGUUUGUACGAAUAUGUUGUUUUCUGAGUAUUUAUGAACCGAGAAACCAUUUUUC